UACGUAGGGGGCAAGCGUUGUCCGGAUUUAUUGGGCGUAAAGAGCGUGUAGGCGGCUUUACAGGUCCGUUGUGAAAACUCGAGGCUCAACCUCGAGACGCCGGUGGAAACCGUAAAGCUAGAGUCCGGAAGAGGAGAGUGGAAUUCCUGGUGUAGCGGUGAAAUGCGUAGAUAUCAGGAGGAACACCGGUGGCGAAGGCGGAUUUCUGGACCAGUUCUGACACUGAGGAGCGAAAGCCAGGGGAGCAAACAGG
rnacentral:rRNA from 1 species